ensembl:lncRNA
AUGUUAGGUUUCCCAGGCCGGCAUGAAUUCGUACAAGUUCCAAAGAAGUUUUCGAGGAGACUGGAGGUGCGCAUCUACCGCGCGCCACAGGUGACUACUGUAAAGCUGAUUGCGCGCGCCGUCAUCCCCCCCUCUCCAACCCCACCCCGUCGACUUGUCCACCUUAGAAAGAAAAAAAAAGAAAAAGCGGCCGCUUUAUACCGGAGGUCACUCCCACGACCAGCAGACGAGGCAGCCCGGCGACUGUGGCAGAAAGAGAGUGAGAGUGAGGGGGGGAGAGAGCUCGACAAGUUGGUAAGGAAAGAAAAAGAGGGAUGGAUCAAACUGGAUCCACCGGUUCCUAAGGAAUUAGCCAUAGCGACAGGGAGCAGCCAAGCUAUUUUCAACAACCGAGGGACGAGAAAUCCGUGGGAUGCAACGUCUGCGGGGCUUGGAGCGCGCAGACGGCUGCAAAUUCAACAGGUUCCCCGCAGUAGAGCCACCCGUCUGCCCCCCUCCCCGCCUCUCCCCUCCCCUCAUCGCAGACGCUCCUUGCUGCCUUUUACGCGGACGUGCGCCUCCAGCAGCAUCUGCAGUUCAGCGACAAUGAACAACAGCAAGUAGGAGCCGCGCAUUCAGGGAGCGCGCCCCUGCUCCCCGUUUAUUUGUUUUAAUUUACCUGUAAACACCGAGGAGUUUCUAUAAUCCCGCCAACUUGAACACUGAUCCAGACGGAACGUCUCCGCGCAGAAGAAGAAGUCCCUCCCGCGCAGCCUCCUGCAGCGCGCACCGAAGGGCUGCUCGUUCCGAUGAGGCAGAGAGCAGCAACAGUUAGGAAAUCCACGGUGACUUCCUCCUCCAUGUCCUCUAGAGCGCGGCAGAGCAGCACUACAGCCGACCGAGGCAGGCGCACACAUCCAUCAUCGUGCGCAGCCUUGCUCUCCGCUCGGUGAUCGAUUAAGUUUCAAGAGGCCUUUAGUGCACCGGCCCGCUGCUGCUGCUGCUGCUGCUGCUCUGCUCUUCUGUGGCGCACAGACACUCGUGACAUCUUCCGUUUGGGAAUAACCCCACUGCCACGUGCGGGUUUUUUCCCUACAUGUUUAUAGGUUUGGGAAGUAUUAUUAUAAGGGAUGAUGGUUUAUUUGUGCUGCAUUACAAUUCAUGUUCUUUUUUUAGUCAUGCAAGCUUGAAUGUAGGUUCUAGAAAGCAGAAUCUAUCUUACUUUGUUUUAUUUUUCUCACAAAUUGAAUUAUAUAUAUGUUUUUAUUUUUUCCAAUCAAGUCAAGAUUAAUCAAAGUAAGAUAUACUGAUGUAGACAUAGAUCCUGUUUGCCUCUUUUAAUAAAAACAUAUUGUAUUAUUGCUUAAAAUAAACCAAUUCCAGAAAAAAAGUGUUAAUUGAUUUUUUUUUCAAAUAAAUAUAAAUGUUUACAGUCAAAUUAAAGCAGUUGAAAAUCUCUUCAUAUUUUUAUCAUCAUAUCAAGUUUUAGGUGUUUGAACUGUUGCUUACAUUCUUUUUUAUUAAAUUUAUUGAACGUUGUGCAUUGUAACACUGAAAAGUCCCUACUUUUAACUUCUGCCAAUUUCUACCAAAAAAUCUAUAAUAUCUCUUAAGUAGAU